AUACGUAGGGGGCGAGCGUUGUCCGGAAUGAUUGGGCGUAAAGGGCGUGUAGGCGGCCUGUUAAGUCUGGAGUGAAAGUCCUGUUUUCAAGAUGGGAAUUGCUUUGGAUACUGGCUGGCUUGAGUGCAGGAGAGGUUAUCGGAAUUCCCGGUGUAGCGGUGAAAUGCGUAGAGAUCGGGAGGAACACCAGUGGCGAAGGCGGGUAACUGGACUGCAACUGACGCUGAGGCGCGAAAGUGUGGGGAGCAAACAGGAUUAGAUACCCUGGUAGUCCACACUGUAAACGAUGAAUGCUAGGUGUAGGGGGUAUCGACCCCUUCUGUGCCGCAGUAAACACAAUAAGCAUUCCGCCUGGGGAGUACGGCCGCAAGGUUGAAACUCAAAUGAAUUGACGGGG
rnacentral:rRNA from 1 species